GCCGUGGCCGAGCUGAGGAGCGUGACACCGUGGCCGAGCUGAGGAGCGUGACGUCGUGGCCGAGCUGAGGAGUGUGACGCCGUGGCCGAGCUGAGGAGUGUGACGUCGUGGCCGAGCUGAGGAGUGUGACGCCGUGGCCGAGCUGAGGAGUGUGACGUUGUGGCUGAAGAAGUUGGACGUUGUGGCCGAGCUGAGGAGCGUGACGUCGUGGCUGAGGAGCGUGACGCCGUGGCCGAGCUGAGGAGCGUGACUUCGUGGCUGAGGAGCGUGACGCCGUGGCCGAGCUGAGGAGCGUGACAUCGUGGCCGAGCUGAGGAGCGUGACGUCGUGGCCGAGCUGAGGAGCGUGACGCCGUGGCUGAGGAGCGUGACGUCGUGGCCGAGCUGAGGAGCGUGACGCCGUGGCUGAGGAGCAUGACUUCGUGGCUGAGCUGAGGAGCGUGACGUCGUGGCCGAGCUGAGGAGCGUGAUGCCGUGGCUGAGGAGCGUGACUUCGUGGCUGAGCUGAGUAGCGUGACGUCGUGGCCGAGCUGAGGAGCGUGACGUCGUGGCCGAGCUGAGGAGCGUGACGUCGUGGCCGAGCUGAGGAGCGUGACGUCGUGGCCGAGCUGAGGAGCGUGACUUCGUGGCUGAGCUGAGGAGCGUGACGUCGUGGCUGAGCUGAGGAGCGUGACGUCGUGGCCGAGCUGAGGAGCGUGACUUCGUGGCUGAUCUGAGGAGCGUGACGUCGUGGCUGAGCUGAGGAGCGUGACGUCGUGGCUGAGGAGCGUGAGGUCGUGGCCGAGCUGAGGAGCGUGACGUCGUGGCCGAGCUGAGGAGCGUGACGUCGUGGCCGAGCUGAGGAGCGUGACGCAGCAUGGUAAAACAUUGCAGUAUAUAUUGUGUUCUUCUAUUGCACAUGCACAGGGUUUGUUGUUUGCAGUAACUUCUUUGUUUUUGUAAUAUCACAAACAGACGUUGCUGUUUCACCAUUAAGGAUGCCAGCUUAAUCUUAAUACUGUUUAUGUA
ensembl:lncRNA